rnacentral:rRNA from 1 species
UACGAAGGGGGCUAGCGUUGUUCGGAAUUACUGGGCGUAAAGCGCGCGUAGGCGGAUUGGUCAGUUAGGGGUGAAAUCCCAGGGCUCAACCCUGGAACUGCCUUUAAUACUGCCAAUCUAGAGUUCGAGAGAGGUGAGUGGAAUUCCGAGUGUAGAGGUGAAAUUCGUAGAUAUUCGGAGGAACACCAGUGGCGAAGGCGGCUCACUGGCUCGACACUGACGCUGAGGUGCGAAAGCGUGGGGAGCAAACAGG